rnacentral:rRNA from 1 species
UACGUAGGUGGCAAGCGUUAUCCGGAAUUAUUGGGCGUAAAGCGCGCGCAGGCGGUUUCUUAAGUCUGAUGUGAAAGCCCACGGCUCAACCGUGGAGGGUCAUUGGAAACUGGGGAACUUGAGUGCAGAAGAGAAAAGCGGAAUUCCACGUGUAGCGGUGAAAUGCGUAGAGAUGUGGAGGAACACCAGUGGCGAAGGCGACUCUUUGGCCUGUAACUGACACUGAGGCGCGAAAGCUAGGGGAGCAAACGGG